rnacentral:misc_RNA from 1 species
AAGUCGUAACAAGGUUUCCGUAGGUGAACCUGCGGAAGGAUCAUUAACAUGUGUAACUUAAAAAAUUACACGUAUUAACAACAACAAAUAUAAAUCCACCGGAAAAUAGUUUUUUUACCUAUUGUUAGUUGCGGGUAGACUGAAUGAGAAUUUGCUAUUGGCCGUAACAAGCCAAGACUCUGACGUCGUUCUAAUGGUGCGCCCGUGGAACUUGCACUGACAAAUAGUUGACAAUUGUAGCGACCGCUUAUUAAUGCCUGUAGCAAAGCUUGCGGUUAGCCUACGAACUUAUUAUAACCCCUUUUUACUAUUAUUUACUGAUAUUAUUUUUAUAGUGUUGAUUCCUGAUCUUUAUUGAUUGGUUGAGUUUACACAAUAAAUUUGAAAAUUGUUUAAUAUAAAAACAACUCUUAGCAACGGAUAUCUUGGUUCUC